rnacentral:rRNA from 1 species
UGGCCGAGAGGGUCCGUCGGGAAAUCUGCUCGCUCAACGAGCAGGCGUCCGGCGGAAACCAAUCGGCUUGGGACCGGAAGACCUGAGGGGUACGUCUGGGGUAGGAGUGAAAUCCCGUAAUCCUGGACGGACCACCGGUGGCGAAAGCGCCUCAGGAAGACGGAUCCGACAGUGAGGGACGAAAGCUGGGGUCACGAACCGGAUUAGAUACCCGGGUAGUCCCAGCUGUAAACGAUGCUCACUAGGUGUGGCACUGGCUACGAGCCAGUGCUGUGCCGUAGGGAAGCCGUGAAGUGAGCCGCCUGGGAA